AGAAACUCAACAGUGACUGCAAUACUUAUGACAUUCCAGACCGGGUUCAAGCCGAGACACAAGAAGAAACGGGAGAUAAACAACCCAGCACAACCUACUGCACAGUAGGACAACACCAAAAACCACCAGUCCACCCUGAAACAGACCACACAAUUUAUUCAGCAGUGUUCAAACAACAAAACAAGAAACCACCUGUCAUAUCCACCAGUGACACUUAAAAUAAAACUGGUGGCCAUUUCUCACAUGAGGAAGGUAUCACAAGAUCUGAUCCCAAAAUGUCAUUUCUACUCUAACUAUCUUUGUCAUAUCUUUAUGUGGAAGAAAUAAUGAGAACAAUAUACAAGUGUGUUAAUUUGAGAAUCCAAUUUAGGUGUGCUUUCACAAGCACUGGUUUAGUAUAUUAGAUUCAAACAUCCAGAUCCAAAAGGUCUUACUUUUUUGUGUAUGACUGUGAAUUAUAUCUUAGAUUGGUUUUACUACACAAAACUUCAUAACUUUUAAAUAUAAUCCCACAGUGAGAAAAUAUUAACUGCAGUAAACUGUGACAACUGAUCCCACAUGAGAAUUUAGUAUGAAUUACAUUUACUUGAGUAAAUUGUCUGGGUAACUAAUAUUUUUUUGGAGGAUAUUUAAAUAUGGGUAUUUUUACCCUAGAUAGGUACUCUUACUUGAGCCAGACACAGACAUGUUUUUACAGCCAGCACUGCGCGUUAUAACCAAUCACACAAGAUUCUGUUGAGCUUAUGAAUGCAAUGGCCAAUCAAAAAAAUAAUGCUUAAUAAUAAUUUGCCAAUAUACUGUUGUGGCUUCUGUGUGUCACAUGACAACUCCAGAGUAUGAAAUAAACAUCCUCCAAACCCGCGUUAGCUCUGUUCCAGGAGGAAUGCCUUUGCCUAGACACAAUUAUUAUUGAUAUUUCCACAAUAUUUACACCAGCAACAAUAUACAUUUGUUUACAUUUUGCAGAAAAGACAGAAGAAUAUUCAUUAGUGCAUUUGGUUCGUUAUUGAUUUAUUUAUAUAUAUUUUAGUGCACUUUCAUUGAUUACCACUAGAGAGCAACAUUGUAUCUUAUUUCUGGCCAAUGGUUUCUCAUUGAGUGAACAAUUUUAUUUUGUUUAUUUUAUUUUUUUACUUAAAUCUUACUUAAAUUGUACCUUUGUUGAUUCUUGGAUUAGUCUUGGAAAUACUAUUUCCAGAGAUAGCCUUUUAAACAAACUCUGGCACUCAACACUGGAUAUUCUCAGCAUUCUCAGGUGAAGAUUAUUGAGAUGGGACCAAAUUGAACUAGUUUUCUGAUGAACAUGACUGUAGAUCCAUCAAAAUGCAUGUGCGCAACUAUUAAAGUAGAAUAUAAAUAUGAUAACAAAUAAUGAACAGAUUACACACAGGUUUAAUACAUUGAGACAAAACAACAGUAUUAGACCGCAAAUCCACAUUCCAUGUAUAAAAGCACACACAAACAAAACACGCCAAAAACAAAAGCAAGUGGCUUUUAUGUUGGAACCAGGUUCAUCUUCAAAUUCAGAUAGACACUUGUCACAUAAAUGUGUGUUCUGGGGACCUUACUUUCUAAAGCAAAGUCAUUCUUUUGAGUGGGAUAUUCUCUAUGAUAGUAAUUAACUACCGUAUUCUUUAGUAUUUUCCAUAUUAAACAGAAUCGAUACAAGAAAGUAUCGAGUCCACCGCACACAGACUCUUUGAAACAUUUCUGAUUUGUAGCUGAUAAACCAAAGUGAAAUGAUAGUGAAACAAGAGUUUAGUUGAUCAGUCACUUUAAUAGACAAAUGGCAGAAAAAUUACAAAUACAAUGCACUGUAAAUGUAUUUAUAAUUUGAUUCUUUUGACAGGUUCACCAUAAACGAAAUAUGGUUAAUUUUUAUAUAGAAUUUUAUUGAGCAAAUGUUCAUAUAUUAAGUUAUUCGCAUAGUUUUUUGUUAACAACAUACAGUAUUUUCUUAAGGAGGGUUUUUUGAAUUCUCUGAAGUAUGUAAUCCACUUUAUUUUGUAAGAAAACUCUUUUCUUUGAACGUGCGAGACUUACGGCUCAAGUGUAUUAAACUGUAAACUAUUUGCGAGACAAACCGAUGUGUUUGUGACAGUACAUUAAAAUAAUGAGGAAAACAACCAGUUUGAAAUAUCAAAUAUCAAGCACCUUUCAUGAGCUGUAGAGAAAAAAAGAAAGAAAAAAUAUAUAAAAAUAACUGGAAGCUAACGACCCAGAAGCCUCACACAUUCAACUUACAAUGGUCACUCUCUCUUUUAUGUUUACAUUUUUUUCUGUAUGAAAAAAAAAAACUUUUUCUGUAUUAGCCAAUCUACUGCAUAUUCAAAACAUAUAUUUUUUUUUACAUAAUUUUUAUUCAUUUUCAUUGUUUAUGUAAUAUGUUUUUGUCUUUUUUGAUGAAUACAAAAGACUAGAUGUGUUACAUGUGAGUUUCAUCUGCUGUCUUUAUAAAAUAACAUGGUUGGAUUAAAUUAAAAUCUUUAAAUCUUCAAAUGAAUUUGAAAUAUGUUUUUUUUUUUUUUUUUUUUUUUUGGAAACCA